CAAGAGCUGUAGUUCGAAUUCAGAGUUAUAGAGUUCAUGUUAACUACAACAAUGGCCAACCAACAGGUAAUUGAUGUUGUUGUUUUCCCCAUAUUUUCUGACCAUAAGCAUGGACUCUUUGGCUAUGUUGAACGAGAUUGAACGAAUUUGGAAACCGUACGUACAUUUGUUUGCACAGUAAUUCGCAGGGUUAGUUUGUACUUAAUUCGCAGGGUUAGUUUGUACUUCAAGUCGUCCGGUUUCAUGCCUCCCAUGCAUGUGAGAAAAUCGCGCAAAUUUGAGUAUCGCGAGAGCAGAAUUUAUAGCAAUAUAGGUCCGGUUUCACCAGGACGAAGUCGAUCCAAGAUGAAAAUCGAAAUUUUCACAUGGUCCACAUGAUCCGUUACACGAAAAUUACAAAUCUUUCAAUCUAUUCCCCUUGCGCGCCAGUUUCUUUUUUACAGUGCUUUUGUGAGCAUGUAUUGUUCCGAAGAACAAUGCGUGCUCACAAAAGCACUGAGCCUGCAUUGUUCCAAGCAUUGUGAACAUGGAUUGUUCCAAGAGCACAGCCGAGUGCGGUCUGAAAUGUAUAUUUGUGUUUACAUUCAUCCCAGUCUGAAGAUAUUCGAUUUGGUCCAGUGAGCGGGAUGACUUCAGAUCGGUCUGAACAAUUUUUCGUCCUACAUUUCUGAAUAAUACUAUCGGACCGAAAUGAAAUCGUCCCUGUAUGACUAUAAUUAUACGUCGCGCGCUCUCGUGUAUUAAAACGCGGCCAUAUGUUGUAUAUACCCGUUUCUGUUGUCGGCAUCGUAAGACUAUAUGGUUGACUAAAGUAGAAUUGGAUACAAAAAUAGUGGUAAUCAUUUUAAUAGUUUUCUCUACUUCACUGGUCCAAUACAGUAUUUCAAAUCAAAUUAUUUACAUUCAGAAAUGUAUAUGAGCGAAGUGUUUUCAUCAUGGUUACCAUGACAACGACCUAAACACAGCAUCGGAAACCAAAGCGCUGAUCGCCAGAUGACUUUCGGACCACAUAUUCAAGUUGCAUGAUUUCGGCUCACACCUGAUGCAUGAAACGGGAUGGACUUGUGGUUUGCUAUCAAUCCCUUGGGAUUCAUAAAGCUUCGGAUACACGAGCAAUAUUUUUGAGCAAUAUAACGUAGCCUCAAUUCGCUGACGGACAGACGGAGGUACCCGAUCUCCGUGCCCGAUGCCACCAGAAGUAAUGAAAUUAUUUUAAAUGCUCUUUGGGACUCGUAAUAACACGAGCAAGGUGUAAAUGGACCAUACAGCUAACGGUAUGAAUGUUCCAUCCAGACAAAAAAACCCAAAAUCUAUUAUAAUCAGGCAAAUCGUUUAUUUUGGUAAUUUUCCGUUAAGACGGACCAAUCAAAUAUGCUGCGUAUUCCAUUUUCGUUCGGAAUCCAGGGGUGGUGAAAACUCGUUGUAACCUUCAUCAUGUUAACAAUAUAUAUUGCAGAAAAAUUUCAACGCUAACACAAAUCCAUGCAAAGUGACCAUAAUUUAUGAGCAUAUAAUAUAAUUAUAAAAGACGACCGAUUGGACCUCAUAUAGAGAGUUUAGUUGUUCAUUUUGUAAUUUAUAGAGAAAGGAUGAAGAUUCCAGGUAUGCUUUCGAUUUAGCACUUCAGGAGGCAGAUGAUUUUUACUUAGCUCAUGCGAUUGUAGUUUCAGAAAGAGAAGAAAUAUGCAGGCAACAACGACGACUGCGACCACCAACGCCACGUUGGCGGUCGCCACCAACGCGAUGUUGGUUAGAGCAAGAAGAUCGUGCAGUGGCUCAAUCGUUUGCAGAUUUGCAAAGAGAAGAGAUAUACUGGCAACAACGACAACGACGACUGCGACCACUAACGCCACGUUGGCGUUCGCCACCAACGUCAUGUUGGUCAGAGCAAGAAGAUCGUGCCGUGGCUCAAUCGUUUGCAGAUUUGCAAAGAGAAGAGAUAUACUGGCAACAACGACAGCGACGACUGCGACCACUAACGCCACAUUGGCGUUCGCCACCAGCGUCAUGUUGGUCAGAGCAAGAAGAUCGUGCCGUGGCUCAAUCGCUUGCAGAUUUGCAAAGAGAAGAAGUGUACAGACAACAGCGAAAACCAAAUUAUUUUCCAGCACACAGACAACAACAGCAACGAAAGAAAGGUCCGACAUUUUGGUCAAGAUACGGAGAUCACUUACAGCCGACGUGUUCGUCAGCACACAGUCAACAGCAACCGCCAAUACGAAGCUGCCUGGACUCACUGUAUUGGUUAACAUGCACUCAGCAGUUUCUGCCAAUGCAACAUUACGUAGAGCCAACAUACCAACAACCGCGACCAAAACAGGCAGAAUCAAAAGACAGACGACAGCAAGAACCAGAG
rnacentral:lncRNA from 1 species